GCUUCUGCAAAUGUAACUAUAUGAUGGUAAAUUCUAGCGAGGUUUAAACCAAGGAAUGUCAACAAGACAAGAUGAAAGUCUGCUCGAUGCAUGUGAAAGAGGGGAACUUCACAAAGUACAAGAGAUCUUGCAAAAAGACUCGGAUAUCAUCAACAGGUUGAAUCAACGUGGCGGUCUCUUGCGCAACACUCCAUUGCACUACGCUACAUAUCGCGGUCAUGUUGAUAUCUUACAACUGUUGCUUAACCAUGGUGCCAGUGUGAACACGGUGGACUAUGAGAGUCUUACACCAUUGCACUACGCUGCAUUUCGGGGUCAUGUUGAUAUCUUACAACUGUUGCUUAACCAUGGUGCCAGUGUGAACGCGGUGGACUAUAAUGGUGUUACACCAUUGCACGACGCUACAUUUCAAGGUCAUGUUGAUAUCUUACAACUGUUGCUUAACCAUGGUGCCAGUGUGAACACGGUGGACAAGGAUGGUGAUACACCAUUGCACGAAGCUGCAUCUGACGGUCAUGUUGAUAUCUUACAACUGUUGCUUAACCAUGGUGCCAGUGUGAACGCGGUGAACAACAUGGGUCAUACACCAUUGCCCUACGCUGCAUCUAACGGUCAUGUUGAUAGCUUACAACUGUUGCUUAACCAUGGUGCCAGUGUGAACACGGUGGACUAUGAGGGUGAUACACCAUUGCACAAAGCUGCAUCUUGGGGUCGUGUGAAAUGCAUUAAGGUUUGUUUCUCUCGUGAGAUAGUCAAUGUUCAGCAGCUCAGUUAAUCCUCGCAAUUUUUGCUAGAAAUAGGCAAAGAGAUAAUGCCGCUGAAAAUUGAAUAAACAAUAUCAGUUUUUUUGCAGGGACGGUGGGACGAUGUAUGUGU
rnacentral:lncRNA from 1 species